GGGGUAGUGGCUCAGUGGUAGAGUACUUGCCUAGCAUGUGUGAGGUACUGGAGUUCAAUUCUCAGCACCACA
rnacentral:tRNA from 1 species